UAGCAGCACGGAAUGGUUUGUGAGUUACACUGAGAUACAAGCCAUGCUGUGCUGCCGCA
rnacentral:pre_miRNA from 1 species